CAGCCGCCGCGGGAACACGUAGGGUGCAAGCGUUAAUCGGAAUUACUGGGCGUAAAGCGUGCGCAGGCGGUUCGUUAAGACAGAUGUGAAAUCCCCGGGCUUAACCUGGGAACUGCAUUUGUGACUGGCGGGCUAGAGUAUGGCAGAGGGGGGUAGAAUUCCACGUGUAGCAGUGAAAUGCGUAGAGAUGUGGAGGAACACCGAUGGCGAAGGCAGCCCCCUGGGCCAAUACUGACGCCCAUGCACGAAAGCGUGGGGAGCAAACAGGAUUAGAUACCCGUGUAGUCCCUGUCUCUUAUAC
rnacentral:rRNA from 1 species